UACGGGGGGAGCAAGCGUUGUUCGGAUUUACUGGGCGUAAAGAGCUCGUAGGCGGUUGGGCAAGUCACGUGUGAAAUCUCCACGCUCAACGUGGAGGCGCCACGUGAGACUGCCCUGACUCGAGUCCGGUAGGGGAGCGUGGAAUUCCCGGUGUAGCGGUGAAAUGCGCAGAGAUCGGGAGGAACACCCGUAGCGAAGGCGGCGCUCUGGGCCGGUACUGACGCUGAGGAGCGAAAGCGUGGGGAGCAAACAGG
rnacentral:rRNA from 1 species